GUGCGGUAGGGGAGAUUGGAAUUGGCCUGGUGUAGCGGUGGAAUGCGCAGAUAUCAGGAGGAACACCGAUGGCGAAGGCCAGAUCUCUGGGCCGAUUACUGACGCUGAGGAGCGAAAGGGUGGGGAGCAAACAGGCUUAGAUACCCUGGUAGUCCACCCCGUAAACGUUGGGAACUAGUUGUGGGGGCCUUUCCACGGUCUCCGUGACGCAGCUAACGCAUUAAGUUCCCCGCCUGGGGAGUACGGCCGCAAGGCUAAAACUCAAAGGAAUUGACGGGGACCCGCACAAGCGGCGGAGCAUGCGGAUUAAUUCGAUGCAACGCGAAGAACCUUACCAAGGCUUGACAUACACCGGAAACGUCUGGAAACAGUCGCCCCUUUUUGGUCGGUGUACAGGUGGUGCAUGGUUGUCGUCAGCUCGUGUCGUGAGAUGUUGGGUUAAGUCCCGCAACGAGCGCAACCCUCGUUCUAUGUUGCCAGCACGUUAUGGUGGGAACUCAUGGGAUACUGCCGGGGUCAACUCGGAGGAAGGUGGGGAUGACGUCAAAUCAUCAUGCCCCUUAUGUCUUGGGCUUCACGCAUGCUACAAAAUUGGCCGGUACAAAGGGCUGCAAUACCGUGAGGUGGAGCGAAUCCCAAAAAGCCGGUCCCAGUUCGGAUUGAGGUCUGCAACUCGACCUCAUGAAGUCGGAGUCGCUAGUAAUCGCAGGAAUCAGCAACGCUGCGGUGAAUACGUUCCCGGGUCUUGUACAACACCGCCCGUCAAGUCAUGAAAGUCGGUAACACCUGAAGCCGGUGGC
rnacentral:rRNA from 1 species